rnacentral:rRNA from 1 species
UACAGAGGGUGCAAACGUUGUUCGGAAUUACUGGGCAUAAAGCGCACGUAGGCGGCUUGGUAAGUGUGAAGUGAAAGCCCACGGCUCACCCGUGGAACUGCUUUGCAUACUGCCUGGCUCGAGGACGGUAGGGGAGAGCAGAACUCCUGGAGGAGCGGUGAAAUGCGUAGAUAUCAGGAGGAAUACCAGUGGCGAAGGCGGCUCUCUGGUCCGUUUCUGACGCUGAGGUGCGAAAGCUAGGGUAGCGAACGGGAUUAGAUACCCCAGUAGUCC